rnacentral:rRNA from 1 species
GACGAACGCUGGCGGCGUGCUUAACUCAUGCAAGUCGAACGGAAAGGCCCUGCUUUUGUGGGGUGCUCGAGUGGCGAACGGGUGAGUAACACGUGAGUAACCUGCCCUUGACUUUGGGAUAACUUCAGGAAACUGGGGCUAAUACCGGAUAGGAGCUCCUGCUGCAUGGUGGGGGUUGGAAAGUUUCGGCGGUUGGGGAUGGACUCGCGGCUUAUCAGCUUGUUGGUGGGGUAGUGGCUUACCAAGGCUUUGACGGGUAGCCGGCCUGAGAGGGUGACCGGCCACCUUGGGCCUGAGAUACGGCCCAGACUCCUACGGGAGGCAGCAGUGGGGAAUAUUGCACAAUGGGCGGAAGCCUGAUGCAGCAACGCCGCGUGCGGGAUGACGGCCUUCGGGUUGUAAACCGCUUUCGCCUGUGACGAAGCGUGAGUGACGGUAAUGGGUAAAGAAGCACCGGCUAACUACGUG